CACAGAGUGCCUGGGCUCGGAGCCCGGAACCGCAAGGCCGCAGUCACGCUGUGGGCCAGACCGAGUUCACAGCCGCGGACCCACUUCCACGCGUUCGGGCUGCUGGCUGUGCCGUGAUUCACACUAACCUCGAUCCGGUCUUCAUCCCUCUCCCUGCACCGAGCUCCCACGGGCCCCUAAUGCCUUCAGGCCCGCCAUCAUGUCUUUUGUCACGCUGAUGAGUUUUAAAAUGAAGCUACGGCGCUGGAAUCUGUGAAUCACGUGUGUGAUCUGACGCAGUGCUGUUUGCAGAGGUCAUUUCAGUCAGUCCCCAGGAGGCAGGACAACGACUGCUAAGCGUACGACUGCCGUAACCAAGAAGAGACGAGUGUGUUAUACAAGACAGAAAACGAAAAGAAAGUGAUUCUCCAAUAAACCAGCAAGGUCAAGUGUGUUCCACAGACCAUCAGUGCGAAGAUGUUCCUUGGGAGAAAAAAGUCUUUCUUAGUGGAAUAAGUUUGGGAAAUAUUAACAGUGAACAUUAGCUUAGUAAAGGCUCUGAAAAGU